rnacentral:rRNA from 1 species
UGCGUAGGCGGAAGGAUAAGUCAGUGGUGAAAUCCUACAGCUUAACUGUAGAACUGCCAUUGAUACUGUUGUUCUUGAGUAUAGUUGAGGUGGGCGGAAUGUGUCAUGUAGCGGUGAAAUGCUUAGAUAUGACACAGAACACCGAUCGCGAAGGCAGCUCGCUAAACUAUAACUGACGCUCAGGCACGAAAGCGUGGGGAGCAAACAGGAUUAGAUACCCUGGUAGUCC